rnacentral:rRNA from 1 species
AGUGUGAGAAACACUCUCGCCGUAAGUCCAAGGGUUCCUGCGCAAGGCUAAUCCGCGCAGGGUGAGUCGGCCCCUAAGACGAGGGUGAAAGCCGUAGUCGAUGGGAAUCAGGUUAAUAUUCCUGAACCUGGUGGUAGUGACGGAUGCCGGAAGUUGUCUCCUCUUAUCGGAUUGAGGGGGCAGCCUGGGCAUUCCAGGAAAUAGCUCCACCGUUAAGACCGUACCCGAAACCGACACAGGUGGACUGGUAGAGAAUACCGAGGCGCUUGAGGGAACUAUGUUGAAG